rnacentral:sRNA from 1 species
GAAGAAGAAACCACGCAUGACAGAAU